GGGGAAUAUUGCACAAUGGGGGAAACCCUGAUGCAGCGACGCCGCGUGGAGGAAGAAGGUCUUCGGAUUGUAAACUCCUGUUGUUGAGGAAGAUAAUGACGGUACUCAACAAGGAAGUGACGGCUAACUACGUGCCAGCAGCCGCGGUAAAACGUAGGUCACAAGCGUUGUCCGGAAUUACUGGGUGUAAAGGGAGCGCAGGCGGGAAGACAAGUUGGAAGUGAAAUCUAUGGGCUCAACUCAUAAACUGCUUUCAAAACUGUUUUUCUUGAGUAGUGCAGAGGUAGGCGGAAUUCCCGGUGUAGCGGUGGAAUGCGUAGAUAUCGGGAGGAACACCAGUGGCGAAGGCGGCCUACUGGGCACCAACUGACGCUGAGGCUCGAAAGUGUGGGUAGCAAACAGGAUUAGAUACCCUGGUAGUCCACACCGUAAACGAUGAUUACUAGGUGUUGGAGGAUUGACCCCUUCAGUGCCGCAGUUAACACAAUAAGUAAUCCACCUGGGGAGUACGACCGCAAGGUUGAAACUCAAAGGAAUUGACGGGGGCCCGCACAAGCAGUGGAGUAUGUGGUUUAAUUCGACGCAACGCGAAGAACCUUACCAAGUCUUGACAUCCUGCGACGAUGCUGGAAACAGUAUUUUCCUUCGGGACGCAGAGACAGGUGGUGCAUGGUUGUCGUCAGCUCGUGUCGUGAGAUGUUGGGUUAAGUCCCGCAACGAGCGCAACCCUUACUGUCAGUUACUACGCAAGAGGACUCUGGCAGGACUGCCGUUGACAAAACGGAGGAAGGUGGGGAUGACGUCAAAUCAUCAUGCCCUUUAUGACUUGGGCUACACACGUACUACAAUGGCGUUAAACAAAGAGAAGCAAGACCGCGAGGUGGAGCAAAACUCAGAAACAACGUCCCAGUUCGGACUGCAGGCUGCAACUCGCCUGCACGAAGUCGGAAUUGCUAGUAAUCGUGGAUCAGCAUGCCACGGUGAAUACGUUCCCG
rnacentral:rRNA from 1 species